UGAACUGCAGGACACAUGAACAUCGACAUUUCGAACGCACAUUGCGGUCCACGGAUACAAUUCCCGGACCACGCCUGGCUGAGGGUCG
rnacentral:rRNA from 1 species